rnacentral:rRNA from 1 species
GACGAACGCUGGCGGCGUGCUUAACACAUGCAAGUCGAACGGUAAGGCCUUCGGGUACACGAGUGGCGAACGGGUGAGUAACACGUGGGUGAUCUGCCCUGCACUUUGGGAUACGCCUGGGAGACUGGGUCUAAUACCGGAUAGGACUACGCACUGCAUGGCGUGUGGUGGAAAGCUUUUGCGGUGUGGGAUGGGCCCGCGGCCUAUCAGCUUGUUGGUGGGGUGAUGGCCUACCAAGGCGACGACGGGUAGCCGGCCUGAGAGGGUGUCCGGCCACACUGGGACUGAGAUACGGCCCAGACUCCUACGGGAGGCAGCAGUGGGGAAUAUUGCACAAUGGGCGCAAGCCUGAUGCAGCGACGCCGCGUGGGGGAUGACGGCCUUCGGGUUGUAAACCUCUUUCAGCACAGACGAAGCGCGAGUGACGGUAUGUGCAGAAGAAGGACCGGCCAACUACGUGCCAGCCGCCGCAGUAA